UCCACCAUUAUUACUGAACUGAUAUGAACUUUUAUUUAGGAGAAAAAUAGUUCUGUUUUAUCACAGAGUGCUCAUAUCUUUUUUCUCAUGUCAUUAAACAGAUGGUGCUGUAGUUCAUCUUUUCACAUAAGGAAAGAACAAGAAGAAAUGGCUCAAAUUACAGAAAGUUGAAGGGCACACAUCAGGAUUUCCUGGAAGUCAACACCUGGACAAGUUACCAAGUCAAAUUAUAGAAUUGCCUUAUGAGAAGACCUUUAAAUUUAGGACUGAACAGGCAACUAUCCUGGGUUCAAUGUAGGCCUUGUAGAAGAUGGAGAGCCACCAGAAAAAUGAAAACUCAACUCAAAAGUACCCAGGAAGCCCAUCUACUUACUGGUGACAGCUGUGCCAUUCCCAGGAGUAUCUUGGUCGGCUUGUUUGAAAACAUCACAGAGAAUAAAAAGAACAAAGCAAGUGGGAAGUUGGAGAUGUGUAAGAAGAAAUGACUGAGAGAAGAGAACUUUUCUUCAUUAAGACCUGAGAAGAAUAAGAAGAGACUGCAAACAAGAGCUGGAGGAUGUGAAUAAGAGAAGACGAUCAAGACACACAAAGAAUGAUUCUAUAUGGACAAUUUUAGAAAAAGAUCCUGCUUGUGUCUUGUUUGUACAAGACAGGAGUAACACUUGGAACAGGAAGCCAGUCUGGGACCUUUGCAGACCAGGGAGUGAACAUCUUCCUCUCCCCGUGCUCACUCACUCCAUGGCAGCAGCGCACCAAGGGGUGCCCACAGCGUGCCGAGUGCUCAUGGUCAUCGGGCUCUUCUGCCGCCUGCCAAGCUCCUGCCAGCUGAGGUACAUGUUUGCCUGUCUGAUGGUGGUAUUUGUUCCCAAGCCUGUUUAUGCCAGUUGUCCUUAUAACUUUAAGUGUAUAAAUUGUUACAUAAAUUAAGGAAAUAUUGACUAAAA